CUUCUGUUUCUUUUGUGCUGGACCCUUAGGAGGAGCUUUAUAUUCCUUCUUCUUUUUCUUCUCCUUAUCCUUAGAAGUGCUUGCCAAGUGAGCAAUUUCAGUUUUAUCUUACUUCAACCUUUUUUCCUCUUGCACACAAUAUGAAAUGAGCUCAUUGAAAGACCAUUUCUCCUUCUGGCGGUUAUAACUGACCUUAAAUUGAUUGAGCUGUGUAGGAAUCGAGAUCAAUACCAAAUGUACAAGCAACUCAUUAGACAACUCAAGCUUUAACCCUUUAAGUUUUGAAGCAAUAUGAGACAUCUCCAUGAUGUACUCCAUAAUGUUCUCCUUGCCUUUAUACUUCCUUGAAAUCAAACUUUACAAAAGCGUGCUUGUUUCAGCCUCAUCAGUUUUCGCGAAACAUUUCUCAAUUUUGACAAGGAACUCGUUAACAUUAGUUAUCCCUUCGGAUACUACACUUCUAAAGGCUUCCAAAAUGUCACGCUUAAUGAUCAUUAGACUCAUGCUAUUUGAGCGAUUCCACUUCUCAAAGUUCCUCUUUUCAUUAGGAGAACUUUCUUCCGUAAGAGGAGUGGGUUCCUCAAUCCGAAGUACAAGGUCAAGAUCUAUGCAGCCAAGAACAAUCAAUAUGUUCUCCUUC
rnacentral:lncRNA from 1 species